rnacentral:siRNA from 1 species
CGCGUGGCCCACACUCUGUUGACU